CUUUUAUGCCACUGAAAUGCUGUCUCACCCUCCCCGGGAACAUGAUCUACAACAUUCCCCUGCAGCGCCACAACUCUCCGGCAUUUCUUGCAGCGGUAAACUCGGGCAGGAGUUGUUUCCUUAGUCAAGGACACAUCCGCAUCUGAGGGAAUGCUUUCUGCUGCCGAGCCUGGAUCAGCCCCAAACUUAGAGGUGUCUAUUCUUACGGUAAACUCGGGCAGGAGCUGUUUCCUUAGUCAAGGACACAUCCACAUCUGAGGGAAUGUUUUCCGUUGCCGAGCCUGGAUCCGCCCCAAACUUAGAGGUAUCUAUUCUUUCUCCACG
rnacentral:lncRNA from 1 species